GAUCAUGGCUCAGGACGAACGCUGGCGGCGUGCUUAACACAUGCAAGUCGAACGGACCGACAUGGAAGCUUGCUUCUAUGAAGGUUAGUGGCGAACGGGUGAGUAACGCGUAAUCAACCUGCCCAUCAGAGGGGGGACAACAGUUGGAAACGACUGCUAAUACCGCAUACGAUCCAAUCCCGGCAUCGGGACUGGAUGAAAGGUGGCCCCUACAUGUAAAGCUAUCACUGAUGGAGGGGA
rnacentral:rRNA from 1 species